rnacentral:lncRNA from 1 species
CAUCGGCGCACCAUAAAUCAGCCAAUCAGCGAGUUUCGGCUCACCACAAUGCAUCACGAGCCCGAUCCACGCGUGCGAUCCAGGGCUCAUGAGGAGAGAGAAGAAGGUCCGAAGGGCAACCUGGUAACUUCACAUCAUUCGAUGGUCCGAUCUUCUCUGAUCAAGAUCCAAUGCUCCAUAUUUUUGCGCCAUCGGACGGCCACCAUCGUAGCCGGUC